GAUGAACGCUGGCGGCGUGCUUAAUACAUGCAAGUCGAACGGACAGGCCCUGCUCUUGUUUGUUUCUUGUUUGCCGAACGCGUGUGUAACACGCGUGUAUCCUCCCCUUGUCUUUGUGAUAUCUUCACGAAACUCGGGCUAUUACCGCGUAUGAUCUCUUGCUGCAUGUUGUUCGUUGGAAAGAUUCGGCGGUUGUGGCUGGACUCGCUGCUUAUCAGCUUGUUUGUGUAGUAGUGGCUUUCCAAGGGUUUGACGGAUAGCCGGCCUGAGAGGGUGACCGGCCACAUGGGGACUGAGGGACGGAGCAGAAUGCUACGGGAGGCAGUGGGGGAGAGUAUUGCACAGUGGGCGGAAGCGUGAUGCAGCAACGCCGCGUGCGGGAUGACGGCCUACGGGUUGAAAACAGAUGUCGAAGGAGACGAAGAGUGAGUGACGGUAAUGGAUAAAGAAGCACCGGCUAACUACGUG
rnacentral:rRNA from 1 species